GAAGUCAGCCAGACCGCCGCUGGUGCAAUCGCCGAAAGGCCGCACUGGAGGAAGGUCCGGACUGCACAGGGCAGCGUAGGAGGUAACACCUCUCCACCGCGAGGUGAGGAUCAGAGCAACAGAGACGAGCCGAUUCAGUUCGGGUGAAACGGGCAAUCUCUACGCGCAGCAACACCAAAUAGGCACACGUUGACCUGGCCCGGGGAGUGUGCGGGUAGGUGGCAUCGAGCCGCUCUGGCGACAGGCGGCCCAGAGGAAUGGCGGUCACGGUUCAGCGUCGCGAGACACGGAACUGCACAGAAUCCGGCCUAUCGGCUGACUUCACAC
rfam:Burkholderiales bacterium RIFCSPLOWO2_12_FTLL_64_99 rifcsplowo2_12_scaffold_6, whole genome shotgun sequence.